rnacentral:lncRNA from 1 species
CAUCAUCUGGUUCAAAGUGGCCAGUGUUGUUCCACGUAUUGCCGCUGCUAUUGCCAUAGUUAUCAUCAGUAUUGGCUGGCUCUGCAUAAUCAGCUGGGUUAAAGGUUCCCAUUCCUUGAGCAGAAAACCUUCCUCCUCGCCUACCAGAGCCACCUCUGCCUCGGCCACGGCCCCUUCUGCCUCUUUCUGUUCCUCUUCCAGAAGGCCCUCCACUCUUGGUGCCAUCCAAUCCAUUUUCCUGACCUCGAAACUCUCGUCCACGGCUGGCACCUCUCCCCCGUCUUGGUGGCCCACCACGUCGCCGACUAUAGUCUCUGUCCCGGUCUCGAUUUUCUUUGCCUUCCUCAUUGGAUUCCGUCUGGCCACCAUCCUUCUGGCCUGAGACUCCCUUCUUCUUCCCGACCAUCUCCCAGGAAUGCGUGUCUGGGUUUCCUUCCAGAAGAACAUUGAUAGCUCUGUUGACAUCUCCAUUGCAGUCAUGCAAAGCAAUCACACAUUCAUCCUGGUUCUUGCCUGUAAUAUCAAUCAAUUGUUUCACCUUCUCCUCAAAGUCAGCAUCAUUAUGGUCCGAAAUCAUCUGUGCAAGUCUAAUUUGUUCUGCAGUGGCCUGUGGCCGCUGCUUGUGCUGUGUCUGGUUUUGGUUUUGAGGUUGUUCCCAGUUUCCCCGGGCUCGGUUAGUGCCCACCGAUGUCAUC